rnacentral:lncRNA from 1 species
UUAGAAGUACCUUUCAGCAUCUGCAAUAAGAAUGUAUUCACGACAACAACUAGAUCCCCUGAGCAUGGUGUUGGUUCGGAUCUUUACCAUGGGAAUACUCAUCUUGUUAAAGUUGGUGCUCAACCGGGGGUGUUGUUCAUCUUUGAACCUCUUGUUGAUCAAGGCUAAGGGUGCCAUGAAGAUCGCGAUAAAAGAAGAGUGCAAAGAUGAAUAUCCCUAUUGAGCGCCUACUUUGACAAGAUAGCAUUCUAUGGUAAAGAUCUGAAGAUGG